rnacentral:rRNA from 1 species
UUAUAGCCAUCAGGUGGAUGGCUCGGCUCAAGUGCCUAUGAAGGACGUGCCAAGCUGCGAUAAGC